GACGGAGGAUGCAAGUGUUAUCCGGAAUCACUGGGCGUAAAGCGUCUGUAGGUGGUCAAAUAAGUCAACUGUUAAAUCUUGAGGCUCAACCUCAAAAUCGCAGUCGAAACUAUUAGACUAGAGUAUAGUAGGGGUAAAGGGAAUUUCCAGUGGAGCGGUGAAAUGCGUAGAUAUUGGAAAGAACACCGAUGGCGAAGGCACUUUACUGGGCUAUUACUAACACUCAGAGACGAAAGCUAGGGUAGCAAAUGGGG
rnacentral:rRNA from 1 species